rnacentral:misc_RNA from 1 species
CUGUCAUUUAAGUUUGACAGACGGUUUUUAGGUUAAUUGUUUACCCCCUUAGCAAAAGGGUUUUUAUUGAGUGUUUUUUACCCUAUAAAAGUUAAUUAAUAAUGUCGAAACGUGUACAACCCCCGUGGUCGCCCCCCUCUCAAGACAAACGGCCCACUUUGAAACUGUACAACAGCUUGACCAGGCAAAAGGAGGUUUUCGUGCCCUUAUCGGGUAAAAAGGUUUAUUGGUACAGUUGCGGGCCUACGGUUUACGACGCGUCCCAUAUGGGACACGCAAGGUCCUACAUAACCUUCGACAUCCUCCGAAGGGUCCUCACCGACUACUUCAACUACGACAUCCUCUACGUAAUGAACAUAACCGAUAUCGACGAUAAAAUCAUCAAGAGGGCGCGACAAAACUAUUUAUUCGACCAAUACGUCUCGGAAAAACGAGAAUUGCAAACGAUCGUUAACGACGCGGGGGAGGUUCUAAAGAACAUCACCGUAAAAGCGAAAGAAAACACCGAUCCGGACAAGGAACCCAUGUACGAAAAGAUGCUCAAUAGGCUCAACGAGUCCAUAUUGAACCUAGAAAACGCCAUUAAGGGGGGAAACGACCAAAAAAUCAUCGAGGCCCAACAGAGGUUCGUUAUGGACAGUAAAGACCCCGUGUCCGAUUGGUUGGACGGUAAAUUCGGCGGUACCGUCACCGAUAACGCCAUCUUUACCUCGCUACCCAAACAUUGGGAGGAGGAGUUUCAUAAAGACAUGGACUCGUUAAAUGUUCUGAGGCCUAAUGUCUUGACCAGAGUGAGCGAACAUAUACCGGAAAUCAUUUCUUUUAUCGAGGGCAUUAUAAAAAACGGGUUCGGUUACGAAGCGAACGGUUCCGUGUACUUUGACGUCUCCGCCUUCGAUAAAAAGGAGAAACAUCAUUAUGCCAAACUGGUCCCGGAGGCUUAUGGGGACUUUAAUAGUUUACAAGAGGGAGAAGGUGACUUGAUGACGUCAGAAAUGCGUAACGAGAAACGUUCGCCGAACGAUUUCGCCCUCUGGAAGAAAAGUAAACCGGGAGAGCCGUCCUGGAGGUCCCCCUGGAGUCCGGGACGUCCCGGUUGGCACAUCGAGUGUUCCGCGAUGGCUUCGGCCAUUUGCGGUCCGUAUUUGGACAUUCACACCGGGGGGGUGGACCUGAAGUUUCCCCAUCACGAUAACGAGAUCGCCCAGAGUGAGGCCCAUUUCGGCAACCCCGAAUGGGUAAAAUACUUCCUCCACUCGGGCCAUUUAACGAUAGCCGGCUGCAAAAUGUCCAAAUCCCUCAAAAACUUCGUCAGCAUACAAGAGGCCCUGUCCAAGUACACGGCAAGACAAUUGAGGUUCGCUUUUCUAUUACACGCCUGGAGGGACACUCUGGACUACAGCCGGAACACCAUGGAGUGCGCCCUACAGUACGAGAAACUGUUCAACGAGUUUUUCUUAAACGUAAAAGACGCCACUCACCAACUGACACUGUCCGACGCGACGACCUUUGACACUUUCACAAAAUGGUCCGAACUGGAGCUAAAUUUAAAUAAAAAAUUAUUGAGCGCGAAAGAAAACGUGCAUACGGCCCUGUGCGAUAACAUCGACACCAAGUCGGCCCUGGACGCUUUAAGGGAGUUGGUGAGCGCGGCGAAUGUUUACCUUAAGGUGCGGAAACCGGCCAAUCAGGUGCUGUUGUACGAUCUCGCCGUGUACGUCACGAAGAUUUUGGGGGUUUUCGGGACGACCCCCGGUAUCCCGAGGAUCGGCUUCCCGAGUACCUCCGAACCGGCCCAUUGUAGUACCGAGGCCACCAUUUUGCCCUACAUCCGAAUUUUAGCCGAUUUCCGGGACAAGGUGCGUUCGGAGGCGCGUAACCUCAAAGCCCUCGACAUUUUAACCGAAUGCGAUCGCAUCAGGGACGAAAUUUUGCCCAGCGUGGGGGUGCGUCUGGAGGACAAGGACGACGGCAGUAGCGCGGUCAAACUGGUCGACAAGGAGACGUUGUUGAAAGAGCGAGAAGCCAAACGGAGGAUGGAUGAAGAGAGGGCGCUGGAAAAGGAACGGAAGAAAGCGGAGCAGGCCUUGAAGGAUGCUCAAAAAAGGGUUCCGCCUAAAGAGAUGUUCAGGAGCGAGACGGAUAAGUAUUCGCUCUUUGACGAUAAGGGUUUUCCUACGCACGACAUCGAAGGUAAGGAACUGAGCAAAGGGCAAGCGAAGAAGCUGCAAAAGGUUUAUCAGGCCCAAGAGAGGAGGUUAACAAUAAAUUUUUUUAUGGUGUUUUUGUUUUUUAAAUUUUCUCACACAACCAAACAGGACAAUUGAUAUCGAGUUUCUGUCAAUCAAUCAAUCAAUCGAAGGGCUCAAAUUUGAUACACAAUACCCGAUAAUAAAGACACUAAAGGCCAAAAUCCCGGAAACAAGACGCUGAUAACGCGUAGGGAACAAUACAGAGAAUUUCGUUGUUUUGUUUUUGAAUGGAGGGUCAUAUUCGUACCAUUGACGUUCGUUUAGUAUCAAAUAGUAACAUUUUUUGGGGUGAAAACAGUCACUAAUUGACCCUUUGUACGUCAAUAAAAACAUUAAAAAAAAAAUCACGGUUUUCACUUAUAGAGAGUCGAUUCAAUGGGUGGUAAGUGCCAUAAUCAAUAAAAAAACAGGAGACUUGAUUUAAAGGUGACAAUCAACGGAAAGACUUUUUGUGAAUCAAUAAAACAAUUGAAAAAAUCA